UCCGAAUUGGUGUAGUGGCCAACAUUAUCCGCUCUCAUUUCAUCUGUGCGAUGCGAUCCGGGUAGCCCGGGGUUCGAUUCCCCGAUUCGGAG